UCUAAUUAACAACGAGCCUCCUCCACACGGAGCUGACCUGCUGCUGUGCAAAGCACCAAACGGGAGCUGUCUCUAGGAAACAGCGGAUCCCUGCAGUCUGUGAGGAAACACUAAAAUAAGGUGGAGAGACCAGAAACCAGAUACUAGAAACAGGCUGAACGGACCCCAGUGAGAAUAUCCAGCCUUUGUGUUGGUGCUGACGGGAUCGUAAUAAAUAAAGAAACUACAAACUAACAGCUGAUGUGGUGGAUCUGCGGCUGUGUCGGGUUUUGCUCAGCGUGAUCAGCUGCAGGUACAUAUCUAAGUAAGAGACGUCCUCUGUCCCAGACCAAACCUAAAAUACUAUGUGGAGGAUGCCAGAUACCUCGGAUAUGACCGAAGGUGAA